GCUGUCAGCACAGAGCCUGAUGCGGGGCUCGAACCCACAAACUGUGAGAUCAUGGUCUGAGCCGAAGUCAGAUGCCUAACCGACUGAGCCACCCAAGCACCCAACCUAACUUCAAUUUUAAAGACAGGAAGAUAAAAACCUUUUCCCACACUGCAUGCGGAAAUGAGUCAGCUUCAUUUCAGCCCAGGAAACAUUUAUUCUGUGUCUACUGUCUACCUACCAGAUAUUACAACAUGGUCAAUAUACAAACAAGAAAUCAAAUAUCAUGGGGCAAGUGUUUUAAAUAAACAAGGAAUGUGUCUAGAAGGGUGUAAGACAAAAUUGCCAAAGGUUUAUACUGCAGAGUAAGAUUACAUGACGUUUUCUCAUUUUGCUUGUCUAUUCUCAAAUGUGUACUGUGAUAUAUAUUUGUGUGAAUGUGUGUGUGUGUGUGUGUGUGUGUGUGUGUGUGUGUGUCCCUUAUAUGACAUUCCUAUCCACAUUUGAUCCUCAACCUCCUUUGUAACCUUUAUUUCUGCUUUCUCUCUCCACAAUUCAUAUAUCCUCUGAUUAAUAGCAUAUUUGUGGGAAGGAGCAUUUUGUACAUCAGUUUUUGACUCUAUUUCCUAUCCCUGCUGAUGGCCUGCUAUUGCCAAUUUAAAUAUCACCUGCUUCAAACAGUCUCACAUUAUGUGUGAAAACCUCUCUGACCCUGAAUUCCUAAACCCUUAUUUCUCUCAGUGCUAAGCAUUUUGUGAUACGGUGUCUUGCAUUGCUAUUUUACUUAAUACCUUACCCUAUAUGGUACUUUACUUUCAUAACAAUUUUGCAUAAAUUAUCUUAUUUCAUUCUGUGAAAUAAGGUAGAUAUGAUCUCUGUCUUCUGUGUGGGAAAAGAGCAGUAUUAAGUGACUUGCUUACACUUCUGAGGAGCCAAGGCCAAGAACAUAGGUUUCUGACUCGAUAUAAUUUGAUUUUCAUUAAAUGGAGCCACACUUAGUUUACUUUUGCUCUCUGACAAAACUGUAUAUCAACUCUAUGAGCUCAGGAACUCUUUAGAAGUCAAGAAUAUAGUGUACACAAUAGGUGCUCAGUAAAAUCAUUGAUUAAUGUUUUGAUAAGAUCUAUAAAGCAAAUCAACAUAAAUCAAUGCAAAUUUCCUGGCUAAUUAAGAGAUAACCUCUUCAAUAUUAAAAUCUUCAGGUCUGUCUUUCUUCAAGAUUUUAAAAUUCUAUUUGUAGGUAUUUGCAUUUGUUUAAGAUAUAAGGAAGAUAUUUAGAGAAAAAAAUCAGCAUUUAGAAAGAGAAAGCAACACUUUUAUUCACCUGAAGGGAAAGUUUACUAGUGGAAUGACUGGUUGAGGAGAGAGCAGCGUAACUAGCAAAAACCCUCACUGUAGUAGGAGAAAAGGAAAUCCAGGGAAGAAGAAAGCACCAUGAAAUUCCAUGAUGUUGGGCUUUGUUCUGGAUUUUGUAUAUUUCUGACAAGGGUGGAGAGAGCAGGACCUCACAGAAACAAAGCAAUAUUCGACACGGUUUAUAAGCUACUGAUAAAAUCUCUGCUCACUGGUGGUUUCCCAAGUGGACAACAACUUAGCAGCCCAACCAAAGAGUGGUAAAAUUUCAUGUGGAGCUCUGAGACUUCUGUCUUAGUUGGCUGGAGUCAGGAACAAGGUGAACUGCCCACAAGCUAAGGACAAGCAAUACCCAGGGGAAAGUAAACAUUUUUCUCAUUGCAGCAAAAGACUAAAUCUAGUUAUGCAAACAAUGACGACAGUGAAUGGGGAUACUGAUGGAUAAAAUACAUACUGUACAAUUCAUUCAAUCUUUGUGAAUCGUAUAAUCUGAAAAUAAUUUUUAUGUUAUGAGUAAUUGAAAUAAAUUAAUACAAUUUUUGUUUUGUACAAAAAUAAUAGUGGCUAGAAGCAUAGGCUUUAUACCCCCUCCUUUCUUGGGUAAUUUCUUAUGGAAUGUACUUUCAUCCAUUCAACACUUACUUAGCAAGCACUGUAUAUACUAGCUCCAAUAGUAGGCCCUGGAGUUGUAACUGUGAAGUAAACAGACCCGAGCUCAGGUCUGGAAACUGGGCACAACAGUAUCGUGACUUUUUAUUAUAAUGACCUUCUCAACCUCCUAAUUAUCCAUCCUUAAUGGAUACCCUUGGUAGCUGCCAGUCUUCCUAGUCCCUUUGUAUGCUACAUUCUAUUAACUCUCUCCAUGGUUCUCUGCAGUACAGGCAUCCCCUCCUGCCACCCAGUAUGAUAAUUGUGCCUACCUCGCUUCUGAUCAGACCUAUUUCAAAGCAUCAGCAGCUUCAGGAUUUCUCUCUUGAGCCAAAGAAAAGUAGAGCUUUCUCUAACCUUCUUACAAAAGAGCACAUACAGCCCAGAUCCGUAGACCUAGUUUACCAGAUAAAGCAGCUCCAGCUUCCUGUGUAUUUUGCAGCAUUGAGAACAAUCAUGUUGUGGGUUCCGAAGUACCAUACAUGGCUUCCGCUGCCCGGCCCCAGAGAGGCCCUGGAGAGUGAUAAAAUUUGAAUUAUUCACAGCAAUUAGUACCAGCACUGCACUGGGACUCACAUUUCAGCCCAAGCUUUUAAGAGGGCUGACCUCGGUGGUCUGCUAUAUGAAAGAGCUUCAGUAAUCAUGAUCCAUCAUGGGAAAAAGAAGUUAUCAGGCAAGAGGAUGUGAGGGGAACAAUUAUAUGGAUGGAAAACAUCUUCAUUAUCAAAGAAACAGACUCGGGAAGGGGAUGUGCUGGCAUCACACCUACAAAGACGAGCAGGGAGGGGAACAGGACGAGGUAGAGCUGAAGAAAUGGGGCUGCAGAAGUUGUUGAAUUUGGCCCGAGUGGCCAGGCAGUCCCAGGCGCCAUUCACAGGUUGUGGACAAUUAGCAGAUGUUUCUUUUUCCAGUGUGGAAGCUGAGGAAUGGAACAAGAUGGCGGCAUGAGCAAAGACUUCUAAGAACCUGCUGAUUUUACAAAUAUGGCAGCUAUGCCUCAGCAAAUUAUAAGCAAUAAUGAAUUAGUUAAUUUUCUUCAGUGAAAACUGCUAUGAUCAUCAUGGCAAUUCACAAGUGUACAGUGAGUAAGUUGGCCAUGAGCAGCUCUGAAGGACGUACUGGCACCUACAUGAUGCCAGACAUCUGGAGGCAAAUUUUCAUCUGAAGAGUAGGUGGGGCUGUAUAUUUUGGAAGCAUAAUGCUGAACAUCUGGAUAUUUGGAAAUCAACUCAUUGCCUAGCGUUCUACAUAGAAAUAUUUUGUUUUUGGUAGAGACAGUCGCAGGCUCUUUACCCUUAAAAGCAAUAUCAUGAUUUAUGUUUAUGUUUUCUCUAUUAAAAUUUGAAAUUAUACAGCACUGACAAUGUGAGUUAAAUAUUUAGAUCACUAAUUAAUGUUAGGUCACUCUCUCUCAAACUUUAAUAGUACAUUUGAAUCAACUGGAGAAAUUGCUCAUAAGUGUUCUAAUUCAGAGCACCCUAAUUCUGCAUUUCUAGCAAGCUCCUUGGUGAUUGCACUGCUGCUUGUCCUCACUUAUGACUCAUUCAGUGGCUAGGUUCUAGAUCUGCACUGUCCAAUAUGGUACCCACUUGUCAUCUGUGGCUUCUUCAAUUUAAAUUGUUUGAGUUAAAGAUUUAAAGAUCAGUUCCUCAGUGCCACUGGCCACUUUUCAAAUACUCAGUUGCCAAAUAUAGAUAGUGUAAAUAUAAACCAUUUUCAUCACUGCAGAAAGUCCCACUGGGUGGUGGUGUUCUAGAUGCAUGAUUCCAUAGCUUUGUGCAUUCACAAAGACUUGGAAAAAUUAUUUGGAGUUUGCUUAUAAUUAGUCCCAUUUAAAAUCACAUGAAAACUUCUACAAAAAUGGAGUUCCAAGUUGAAUACAAUACAGCAGAUCACAAUUUUGGAGUCUAACAUUUUAUUUUAAAAACUUUUUUUUUAGUAGCAAUGGACACUGACGUUUGUCUGAAUUAGAAUAUAUAUUUUAAAAUGGUCUAACUGUUGUACUAAACUCCACCAGUAUAUUUAAAUAUAAUAUAUUUGUCUGUAUAAUUCAUCAUAGGGCAAAUGCAGAUGCUUCUAUCCUGAUUUAUCUUUUGUACUUUUCCUUUGUUUUGCUUCAUUACCACUUUUUAUUAUCGUUGUUGUUGAUGUUGUGUUGCUAUUUCUGUUAGGUGCUGUACGCAUACUUAUUAGUAUUGCUCUACUUAGAUCCCCAAGCAUCAACAGGUCCUUGAAUAAAUAAACACAUAAAUAAUGUUCCAAAUUCAUUCAGUAAUGAAUUAAUGAGGUAUCUAGAUACCAUUCAUAAAACCAGGUUGCAAGUCCCUGGUCUGAUUCAUUUCAGCUGUAUAGUUUAGUAAAUUACAGAGUCUCUUGAAGGCUCAGUUUCUUUGUCUGUGAAGGAUAGAUGAUUCACAAAGAUUCAAUCAAAUAAUGAAUGUAAAAGUCCCUCUAAUACUGAAUCAGUGCUGUGCACAUAUAUUAUUAUUAUUAUUACAGAAUGAUUUUUUUUAAUGAUCACUUAAAGUAGUGAUGCCCAAAUACUUUAAUGUCAGUAUUAGGUUAAAACAUAAAGUUCACUGGGAAGAUGAUUAUCACUAAAAUGUUUCAUACCAUGUAGACCUAGAGGUGCAACAACAUAAAAUUGAAUAUGCAACUUGAAAUAUAAACCUGGGCGUCAACCUUAAGGUUUUAAUUCUCACUUAUAAACUCUGGUUCUAGAACCACCUUAAUGUAAUUAAGAACAGUUGCCAAAUAAUAUAGACAGAAAAGUUUUAUGCAUACAUGCACAUAUAUUCUAUUUAAUAUAAUAUUAAAUAGAGUACUGCAAAUAUAAACAGUACUCUCAGUUAUAAAUUCAUGAGUGUCAGAGCAAUUGACCAAUGAUAUUUUUCCACUGGCUUUAUGAAAUGCAAAUUAUAUUGCACAUACACUAGUGCUUUUCUCUCUCUUCUCUCACUCUGCUUCCACAAACAGUUUAUUGUAAAGUUUCAGUGCAGCUUACCUCCUGUGAAGGUUAAGCUUUUCAGAUAAGUACUUACUUGCUCUAAAUCUUGCCUAUGAACAUAUCCUAUUUAAAAUUGCAGAACUGCAGAAGUAGAUUUCAAGUUUGCAUAAUGAUGCCGAAGAUCACAGUUUUGAGAUAUAGCACAAAUUAAAUGGUAGCCCAGAUCUACUUUUUAUAUAAGCACACACCAAUUAUCUCUUAAACAGUUACUCAUGAACAUUAUUAUUAAAAUAAAGUAGUCCAUGUAGGACAAUCAGUUGCACUAUUCAGACUUCCCUGAAAAUUCUUUUCAGUGCCAACUGGAAAUUUUGCAUUAACCAUGAAUAAGUUUGAGACAUUCUUCAUUCUUACAUUCAAGUAAGUUUUAGCUAAAAUGUUGGAAAACUUCUGCCUAAGAAUGUGGUGAACUUUCCUCCCUCCCUUCCCAGUUUUGAUUUUUGUUUUGAUUUGUUUUUGUGGUAUUUGGUUGAGCAUUAGGUCUUUACAUUGAACACUUAGCAUGCCAAGGAAACUAAUGAUCUAAAAUUGUAAGAGAUUUUAAAUAGAUCAACCUGCCUAUUUCUCAUGCCUGCUUGAGAAGUUUUUUCAGAGCCUUUCCAUUCCUUUCCUUCUAUGCUUGCCUGGAGAUUUGGAUCAGAUGAGUCUGAACAGAAUCCUAUCUUAUUCUUUGAAACAACACUUGGUAAAAACUGGAAUGUCAAGCCCAAUAUAUUUAAAAAAUACCAACAGAGAAGAUUGUGUAGGUUUUUACAAAAUCUGGAAUUUACACAAUUAUAUUUAAUCUUUGUAAGGCAAAUACUCAAGCUAAGCUUCAAUGCAAGAAGGUGGAUUGGUCAUUUUAAUCCAAGUAGUUAGUGCGUUGAGCUAAAGUCCAAGCUUGAAGGUGGUGACUGCAUUGGUCUUAUGGAAUUAAGUGUGGCACUUGGGCUAAGAAGCAGGUGAUAGAUCCAAGUCAAGUAAGAUUCACCAUUACCUAGGUAGGAGUUUGAGCUCAGGGAUCCUUAAGUAGAAUUUGAGACUGAAUAUAGGUAGGAUAGGAACUCUGUAUGCAGGAAGAAGAGGUGGAUGGGGAGUCUGAAAGCAGGAUGAUAGAAGACGGGCUUCAAAUGAACUGGGCUCCUUUGAUGUUGGAACUGACUGGCAAUGAGCUGCUAGAGAUGGAGAGUGAAUUAGCUCUCUUUCCAUCCUCUAAACUUAUUUUUAUUUCCUGGGAAAAAUCAUCUUUUCAGCAGAGCUCACCUUGUUUUGAUAUCCAUUCCUUUGAAGCUGCUGUGGUUGGUGUCACACAACUCUGAUUCUGAAACCACAGCCACAUACACAAGAUUUGGGAAGUUGACUCUCAGUACCAAUACGUACUAUAGGAUGGCAUUUACAUAUCAGGUCUUGGCAAACAGUGCUUCUAGCACGUCUAUUUGCAUCUGAGUCAGUGUGGUGGUCUGUCUUAUUUCCCAGAAGUGGAGAAGUGAUGGUUAGAUACAGACAUUUGAUUAAGAUGAGAGAUCAUGCUAAGGGAUGGAGGAGUGAAGUCAGCUCACAUGGGGCAAGCAAGGCAAAAGAGCUUGUUUCACGAAGGGUAGGCAUAUUCACUUAGCCCUUAGUGAAUUUGUGGUGGUGGAUUGAAAAACAAAUAGGUACGCAGACAAGUAGGUAGAAAGAAAGAAAGAAAGAAAGAAAGAAAGAAAGAAAGAAAGAAAGAAAGAAAGAAAGAAAGAAAAAGAAAGAAAGAAAGAAAAAAGGAAAGUCCUAAAGAUUGGCAUUGGGCUAGUUAGAAUUCUUGAGUAAAAUUAGAAUCCCAACAGUCUUAUAAUGUCAAGUCUCUGAAUUUCCAGGAAGAAAGGGUACACAUUUGUAGUGCAAGUCUGCUUCCCUGUUCGUUUUGAGGCAUAGAAACUGAAGAUCCUGCAAGUGAUUUUCAAUUUUCAGAAAUUUGGAUUUAUAGCAGCUGCAGCAUCGUUCCCUGCUUCCUCUUGCUGCUUAUACACCCUUAAUAAAUUGAGUUUUAGUAGUUGAACAGGGUGAGUAAAAAUGUAAGGUUAAAAAAAAAACUAGUCAGUAUUUUUUUCAUGUAAUCUAAUAUUAAAAUUCUAUAAAUUCUCAAGAAAAAUUAUAGCAACUGUAGAAAUUUA